rnacentral:rRNA from 1 species
ACAGUGGACGCGAGCAUCUUUGUUGUAAGUGUUUAAGAGCGUACGGUGGAUGCCUUGGCACCAGGAGCCGAUGAAGACGUAGGAGCUGCUGCGAUAAGCCUCGGGAGCUGUCAACCGAGCUGAGAUCCGAGGAUGUCCGAAUGGGGAAACCCAGCCACAGUGAUGUGUGUUACCCGCGCCUGAAUAUAUAGGGCGUGUGGAGGGAACGUGGGAAGUGUGAAACAUCUCAGUACCCACAGGAAGAGAAAACAACAUGUGAUUCCGUGAGUAAGUGGCGAGCGAAAGCGAAAGAGGCUAAACCAUGGGGUGUGUGAUAGCCGGCGGCGGCGUUGCAUUCGUUGGGGUUUGUGGUUGGGGUCCGUCUUGUCAAUUCUGCCGGAUUGGCCGACAGUGAGAAAUCAUCGUGUUAGUCGAAGUGGUCUGGAACCGGCCUGUCGUAGAGGGUGAGAGUC